UCUUUUAUAGAUAAAUUCUGAAAAAACGUCGGUUGAUCAGUUAUAGACAUCAGAAUAAGAUUUUUGGAUCUUUGUUGGCUUCACAUAUUAACCCAUUAAUAACCCAGGGCAUCAGAUUCUAGGGACUCGUAAAGAUAUUCUGAAUGGAGUCACCUGUAUUCAAGCAGGGAUUCCAGCUGUGAUAUAGCAGGGAGAAAAGCACCAAUCGGAAUGCUCUGAUAUCGUUCAAUCAGAGGAGAAUAUGAAAGAGUCGGCUUUAAUUGUUAUUUAGUUGGUAACAAUGUUUCCAUGCACAUCAUUCAAUUUGUUUCAUCAACAAUGAUGUUUGGUCUCGGUUUUGAUUACAGGAUAUCCUGUGUAGGGAGGUCACAAACCAGGACCCCGUCUGCUCGCUACAAACCCUGUUACUUUGUUGUAUUAAAAACAAGCAAAAA